rnacentral:rRNA from 1 species
CAAUCCGUGAUAGGUCACUUCAUCUGGAAGGAGAGGUGGCCGAAAAGGGAAUUGUGGGCUUCCACUUUUCUCGCUUCAGGAUGGGACUGCGGCCGAUCAGGCUGUUGGCGGGGUAAUGGCCCACCAAACCUGUAACCGGUACGGGCCUUGAGAGAGGUGGCCCGGAGAUGGACACUGAGACAAGGGUCCAGGUCCUACGGGGCGCAGCAGGCGCGAAACCUUCGCAAUGCGCGAAAGCGUGACGAGGUUAAUCCGAGUGGCUUCCGCUUAGGAAGUCUUUUGCCGACUCUAAAAAGGUCGGAGAAUAAGGGGAGGGCAAGUCUGGUGUCAGCCGCCGCGGUAAUACCAGCUCCUCGAGUGGUCGGGGCGAUUAUUGGGCCUAAAGCAUCCGUAGCCGGUUCCGUAGGUCUCCUGCAAAAUCCAGUCGCUCAACGAUUGGCCCGCAGGAGAUACCGCGGGACUAGGAGGCGGGAGAGGUGGACGGUACUCCACGUGUAGGGGUAAAAUCCUUUGAUCCGUGGAAGACCACCAGUGGCGAAGGCGGUCCACCAGAACGCGCUCGACGGUGAGGGAUGAAAGCUGGGGGAGCGAACCGGAUUAGAUACCCGGGUAGUCCCAGCCGUAAACGAUGCGAGCUAGAUGAUCCAAUCGCAAAUCGCGAUUGGAGUGUCGCAGGGAAGCCGUUAAGCUCGCCGCCUGGGGAGUACGGUCGCA